rnacentral:rRNA from 1 species
CAGUCGCCGCGGUAAUACGGAGGGUGCAAGCGUUGUCCGGAUUUAUUGGGUUUAAAGGGUGCGCAGGCGGGGUGGUCAGUCCGCGGUGAAAGACGAUCGCUCAACGAUUGCAGUGCCGUGGAUACUGCCCUUCUUGAAUCUGGUUGAGGCCGGUGGAAUUGACCGUGUAGCGGUGAAAUGCAUAGAUAUGGUCAAGAACUCCAAUUGCGAAGGCAGCCGGCUGGGCCAGCAUUGACGCUCAGGCACGAGAGUGCGGGGAUCAAACAGGAUUAGAUACCCGGGUAGUCCCUGUCUCUUAUAC